CUUUUAUGAAAAUUUUAGGGCUUUUUCUUGUAUAGCAUAAUGUAUGGGUUGGACAACCAACUGACAUCUAGUAAAUAAUGCUAACUGCAUAUUCAGUGGUGACACUCAGACUGCAUUCAAGCUACAUCAGCACAUUUAGUGAAAGUCUUUUAAGGAUAUUAUUUGGACAUAAGACUUCAUAGACCUUUUUUGUGCAUCUUAGCUUGCAUUUCUGAACAUUGAAGCUUUUAAUUUCUGACCCUGGUUCAACAGGUUUCUUUGCUUGGUUGCUGAAAAGCUUGUUUGUAUCUCUAUGGAUUCUCCUUACACUAUGCGGUUGGACCAGCAGCAAUAAGUAUAGCAAGAAUAUGUCUAUCAAGAACUGAGGAAUCAGCAGAAAAAGCAACAUCGAAAGACAGUUAUUCAUCAUAAUCAUCAUCAUUAGCAGAAAAAUAAGAUCCAGAAUGAAUUCCUACAGGAUUCAUUUCAGCUAAAUAGCCAAUGUUUUGGAUGGGCAAUGCGUUGGUUUUAUAAGGCUUCCUGAUGUACUUAGAGGAAGCAAAAUGAAGCUGUUUCAGGGUAUUUAACUAGAAUAGGUGUUUUUUAUCCCUUUUUUAUCCCAAAAAAGUCAUAGUUUCUCCAUGCAAAAAUGGUAUGUAUAAACUGGUAUUUUUAAUAUUUUUGUGUAAUAAACUCCUAGUUUAGGGAAUGGAACACUUAUUUGUUGCCACUGAACUUCUUAAUACUUGCAUAGUGACUGAAGAAAAGUAAAAUCCUGAGUGCCUUGAAUUGCUGUUUAGGGAAGCUGUUCUGUCUUCUUUGGUUUUGAGGAGAUCUUCAAUGUGUGUUAGACGUUACUAAUAAUAGUAGAUGCAAGUGUUCCCCUUUGCAUUAAUGAAGUUCUAGCUAUGCAUACAAGGACAAAUUUUAUGGUGAAAACUGUAGCAACAAUAUACAUAGACUGUAGUGCAAGCAAAUGUUCAAUACUAAGUUCUCAGGUAUAGUAAAACAAAAGGAGGAAAAUGUCAAUAGAGCUAAAAAAAAAAAAUCUACAACAUUGACAUUGCAUAAUAAAACUGACAUUUUAAUAGAUGUUUCAGUUACACAAAAGAUAGAAUAAUAAAUUUCUAAGAUUGCUUGUUCCAGGACUCACUGUACUUCAGAUAAGCUCUUCCAUGUGCAUCAAGUAAAGGAUUCUCCUCUAGACUGGAUUGCAACAAUCCUGAAAACAGAAGUAAACAGCUAUUAUGGGGAAGAACCUGACUGAAAAAGAGAAACCCAUGCUGAGAUUCAUGCCGAUACUACUGGCUCAGUGAUCUAUGUAUUACCUUGCAAGUGCUACAAAGCAUAAUUUUGAGUUUGGAGUUUUCUGACAUGGCAUUUCCUUUUUUUUUCUUACUUUAAGGAGGGGAGUAUUUUUUAUUCAGAGCUGACUUUGACUUAGGACAUGGCCAAUUCCUAUUCUUCCCGAAGGACUACAUUGUUUGCAUAGAGGUUUUAUUUCCAAUCUGAAAAUUCAUAGAUCACAGAACUCACAAAUAUUUGCUUCUACAGAUAUACUGUGGAGUCUCACAAAGUCCCCUUCUGAGGUUAUCAUGGACCUUCCCUUAGUUAAAAACGCUGAACUUGACUGGAAACCAAGAGUCCACCUGCUGUCCUUUUUACUGCAGAGAAAGGUUUUAUAGUGCAUUAAUCCCAGGGUGUGCAUGCAUAAUACUUGAAUUUGUUAUAGCAUUAACAUUUUAAUUACUGGUGAAUACUUAUGGCCUAUAAAUAUUUAUUAAACUAGAUUCACGUUUUCAGUGUUCUAUGUUCUCACUGGGCCACAGCUUGAUUGAAGAGACCUAGUGACUAAGUGUUUCCCAGGUGUGAGUAGUGUUCUUUGUUCACAAAGUGCAUAAUUUUAAGUGCUACAUGUCACAUGCCAAUAAGAUCAUGUUAUCCCACCCUUUCAGAGUACUAGAAUCAAAGAAAAUUACCACAAAGUAGGUUCUGGAAGAGCAAUUUAAAAUUCUUUCUAAGGAAAGAAUCAUAUCUGAUGAAGCCUAUUACCUUCCUUAAUAUUAGCUGCACUUGAAAUUUAAAAUUGAACAAUUUAUCAGCUUCCUAACAGAGUGGAUCAGGAAGUGUGAUCCUAUUUACACAUAUUUCAAAGAAUGACAGUUGGAAACAUUUUCAUCUAUUCUAACGCAUUAUAUAAAAUUAGAUAUUUAAAAAGAAGAAGAAGAAAAAAAAAAAGGCAAUUGAGUAUUCUCAUAAGUUCCAAUAUCUAAAUAUGAGAGAGACAUCCGUUGUGAAGUGUGAUGAAAGUGUGUUCAGAAAUAAUGAAAUAAUGAAAGGUCUGGUGGAACACUGAUCAGUUGUGCUUUCUUAUCUGGUCAAAUAAUGCUUUUCUAGAUUAAGGGAUCUUUACUGAAGUAAGUUAAUUGCAAACUGAAAUAACUUUUUUUUUUUUUUUAACGUGAGAUAUAAUUAUUCCAUAGAAUUAACAUCUAUUACUGUACCUAGAUUCAUAGAUUUUAUAAUUGGUUUAAUGUCUACUUGAAUUUACAUAGCAUAGAUGGCUGAAACAAGCAAGUACUGUACUGAAAUAAGCAGAUGUCAGGA